rnacentral:rRNA from 1 species
UACGAAGGGUGCAAGCGUUACUCGGAAUUACUGGGCGUAAAGCGUGCGUAGGUGGUUCGUUAAGUCUGUCGUGAAAGCCCCGGGCUCAACCUGGGAAUGGCGAUGGAUACUGGCGGGCUAGAGUGCGGUAGAGGAGAGUGGAAUUCCCGGUGUAGCAGUGAAAUGCGUAGAGAUCGGGAGGAACAUCAGUUGCGAAGGCGGCUCUCUGGACCAGCACUGACACUGAGGCACGAAAGCGUGGGGAGCAAACAGGG